GGCGAACGCUGGCGGCGUGCCUAAUACAUGCAAGUAGAACGCACAGUUUAUACCGUAGCUUGCUACACCAUAGACUGUGAGUUGCGAACGGGUGAGUAACGCGUAGGUAACCUGCCUGGUAGCGGGGGAUAACUACUGGAAACGAUAGCUAAUACCGCAUAAUAUUAAUUAUUGCAUGAUAAUUAAUUGAAAGGUGCAAUUGCACCACUACCAGAUGGACCUGCGUUGUAUUAGCUAGUAGGUGAGGUAACGGCUCACCUAGGCGACGAUACAUAGCCGACCUGAGAGGGUGAUCGGCCACACUGGGACUGAGACACGGCCCAGACUCCUACGGGAGGCAGCAGUAGGGAAUCUUCGGCAAUGGACGAAAGUCUGACCGAGCAACGCCGCGUGAGUGAAGAAGGUUUUCGGAUCGUAAAGCUCUGUUGUAAGAGAAGAACGGGUGUGAGAGUGGAAAGUUCACACUGUGACGGUAUCUUACCAGAAAGGGACGGCUAACUACGUG
rnacentral:rRNA from 1 species